rnacentral:lncRNA from 1 species
CAAACUUGAACUAUUGUCCGUCCUCGGACAAAACAAAGAUGAACCAAGAAUGGAUCAACAAGAGUGCAGAGAAAAGUGGAUAACAUUGUGGCUUCAGAUUUUUCAAUAAAAAUACCAACAUGCAUUUGUAUCUCCCAUCAUCAAGAUAUCACACUCAUGACAAACUUCAAAUUAUGGUCUCAAUGACUUGCAGUCCUCGCCAAAAAGAUAUAGAAUUUAAGAACUCUCAACUCUCAAGUGUAU